AACAAAACAAAUUUUGUUUUUAGCGGAUAAUGCAACAAUCAUUUUUCUCCUCCAACACCCAUAACCACUUCCCGAGAAGGGAGUGGGGACAAGAGAGACCCCAGGGACAUCAGAGGAGUAUACAAAGAGGGGGCUGGUAGAGUCUACCGAGGAGGAGGUACCAGCAUUUGUAUUAGAAGCCAUGAUUAAUGAACCAGCUUGAAAGAAAAAAUAGUUUCGACAAGCAAAGUAUAACGAAACCAGAUAUUCACACAAAAAACCAGAUACUCACAUACGGAUCCAGAUAAUCACACACAAAGCAUACAAUAAGGACAGAGUUACCCUCCUUCUUCACGACCGGAGAAGAUCGGCCUUCCAUCAACAGAGAAAACCCUAGGUACAAAACCCUAGGUGCAACCGUCAAAAACCUUACUGGAAAUAUGGUCAGGGAUGUCGAAAAGUCACCCAAAACAUCCACUGAGUGAGGAUCGAGCCACCGGAUAGCAGUAAAACUCUAUGUUAAACCACCAGAAACCCUAGAAGCCGAUAGGUCACCCAAAAAUUACCAAAAAAUCAUCAGAAAAUCUCCCAGAACGUUCGAGUGAAGAAAAUACACUCAGAUAUCACGAGUAGAAGCUGGUAAGUCACCGAAAAAUCACCAGAAAAUCUCCCAGAACGUUCGAGUGAAGAAGAUAUACUCAGAUAUCACGAUAAAAGUCUCAGAAAAGUAUCCGAUUUAGAUCGGAAUCGUCAUCGACCACAUGCGUCAGAAACACCCCCAAAAAUCUCAAACGAGACUUCAACCAACAUAACAAGAUGCAGAAAAACAUAGUCGGAUCAUCGUCUAUGCUCUGAUACCAUGAAAACAUUAAGAUUAAACUGAAGAAUCAUGGAGAAUAUAGUGAGAAAAACAAGAGAACGAAAGGGGUAGUAGAGAGAAGGAUCGAGAAGAUCCAAGAGAGAAGAUUUUUA
rnacentral:lncRNA from 1 species